GAGACCCGUAUCCACAGUUGCUAACGUGUCCGAAAGGAUGAGCGAGCACACUGUGGAGACUGCCUCUGUAAAGAGGAGGAAGGUGCGGGCUACGGUAAGUCUGUACGGCCCGGAUAUCUUGGGCUACACGCGCGCAACAAUGACAGCUACAAUGGGAUGCAACUCCGAAAGGAGGAGCUAAACCUCGAAAGGCUGCCUUAGUUCGGAUUGAGGAUUGCAACUCAUCCUCAUGACGUCGGAAUCCGUAGUAAUCAGGCAUUAGCAUUGCCCGGUGAAUAC
rnacentral:rRNA from 1 species